AUGAUCAAGUGAGUGGGCCUUUUGUCAUGGAGGUGUCCUGAAGCUCAGAUCAGCACUGCCUGGGUUCAUGAUGUAUCUCUCUUGCUGACAGUACACAAAUUCAUGGUCUGGUCAGGAUCAAUUUCUCCAGAUGAUGUCACAACUACACAAGUUUUGCAUCUUCUAUUGUCUGGAUCUACGUGAAUAUAAAGUCAGCAGGGAAAUAAUAAGAACCGCAUCAUAUCCUGGAGUAAAGGAAGACUUUGCAAGUCACACAUAGACUUCUAGCUGAAUCUUUAUAAAGUUGGUGGCUGAAGGUCAGAUUUGUUUAUUCAGAAGGUACAUUUCUCUGUAAAAACCUUGCUCUUAACCUCUGUACUAUCUAUCAAUCACAUGAUCAAGCUGCUAGUUUGUCAGGACCGUGUCUAUCUUUCACAUGAUACUCAAAUCUAGAGUUCCAUUUUUUGAGUCAAAGUUGAGUUCAAAUCUCUUCUUUUCUACUUGCUGUAUCAUUGUGGACAAAUUACUUAAGUUUUAUAGGAUUAGAUUUGCUUGUCUGUAAAAUGGAGAUAAUAGUAGUACCAACUCCCUAUGUUGUUAUCAGGAUUAAAUGAGAUAAUGCAUGCAUAAUGCUUAGCACAGUACUUGGGGGCAGGAUGCCUCUAAUAAAUGAUAGCUGUUGCUUUUAUAACUUGUAGUAAUAGGCCUGUCUGUCUAAGUGAUCAAAAGGUUUUUAAGUAAUUGUUUUAAGCUACUUUUAACCACAUUUUUCAUGUAACACCUUAUUUUUCAUGUAAUCCUUGAUAAAGCCUCUUGGAUUUUUCCUGCAAAUAUGUCUUUUUGCAAUAUUUGUUUAUUCAGUGGGAUUAGUCAAUCAAUAUGGCCAUUAUUUCUGAUUUUUCUUUCUCUGAGGCUUAGCAUAGUGUUUUUUUUUUUUUUUCAGGCU
rnacentral:lncRNA from 10 species